rnacentral:rRNA from 1 species
GACGAACGCUGGCGGCGUGCUUAACACAUGCAAGUCGAACGGAAAGGCCCUGCUUUUGUGGGGUGCUCGAGUGGCGAACGGGUGAGUAACACGUGAGUAACCUGCCCUUGACUUUGGGAUAACUUCAGGAAACUGGGGCUAAUACCGGAUAGGAGCUCCUGCUGCAUGGUGGGGGUUGGAAAGUUUCGGCGGUUGGGGUUGGACUCGCGGCUUAUCAGCUUGUUGGUGGGGUAGUGGCUUACCAAGGCUUUGACGGGUAGCCGGCCUGGGAGGGUGACCGGCCACAUUGGGACUGAGAGACGGCCCAGACUCCUACGGGAGGCAGCAGUGGGGAAUAUUGCACAAUGGGCGGAAGCCUGAUGCAGCAACGCCGCGUGCGGGAUGACGGCCUUCGGGGUGUAAACCGCUUUCGCCUGUGACGAAGCGUGAGUGACGGUAAUGGGUAAAGAAGCACCGGCUAACUACGUG